ACCAGACUCCUACGGGAGGCAGCAGUGGGGAAUAUUGCACAAUGGGGGAAACCCUGAUGCAGCGACGCCGCGUGAGUGAAGAAGUAUUUCGGUAUGUAAAGCUCUAUCAGCAGGGAAGAUAAUGACGGUACCUGAGUAAGAAGCCCCGGCUAACUACGUGCCAGCAGCCGCGGUAAUACGGAGGGGGCAAGCGUUAUCCGGAUUUACUGGGUGUAAAGGGGGCGCAGACGGCCAUGGCAAGCCCGGUGUGAAAGGCAGGGGCAUAACCCCUGGACUGCACUGGGAACUGUCAGGCUGGAGUGCCGGAGGGGUAAGCGGAAUUCCUGGUGUAGCGGUGAAAUGCGUAGAUAUCAGGAGGAACACCGGCGGCGAAGGCGGCUUACUGGACGGCAACUGACGUUGAGGCCCGAAAGCGUGGGGAGCGAACAGGAUUAGAUACCCUGGUAG
rnacentral:rRNA from 1 species